rnacentral:lncRNA from 1 species
AAAGGUUUGCCAGGUAAUGCUCAAUUCAGACAUCUUUGCAUAUAGAUUUUUACAUUAAAAUUCAUUAUUCAAAUCCCAUUACUAAUAACUCGACCCACUCUGUAUUCAUAGUCUUAUACUCUUUGAUUAGCAUCCAUUGUGACAACAGUUUGCUAUUAAAAUUUUGACAGACUUCUCCAGUCGAUUUCUUUCUUGUGGACCAAGUUAGAGCAUUUGAAUGCACGUAUCAAUGAUCGAAAGAUAAUUGCAGAUGGUUCUACAUCAGGCACCAAUUUCUAUCUCACUUGCAGCUAUGUUCUCUUUUGCUUUUGUUUCGAAAUAGUUUUUGCGAACGUAAUAUGUAAUAUAUUGAACUGAUUACAAGAUGCCUAGUUUCC